rnacentral:rRNA from 1 species
CGCGAUACAGGGUGACAGCCCCGUACACAAAAAUGCACAUGCUGUGAGCUCGAUGAGUAGGGCGGGACACGUGGUAUCCUGUCUGAAUAUGGGGGGACCAUCCUCCAAGGCUAAAUACUCCUGACUGACCGAUAGUGAACCAGUACCGUGAGGGAAAGGCGAAAAGAACCCCGGCGAGGGGAGUGAAAAAGAACCUGAAACCGUGUACGUACAAGCAGUGGGAGCACGCUUAGGCGUGUGACUGCGUACCUUUUGUAUAAUGGGUCAGCGACUUAUAUUCUGUAGCAAGGUUAACCGAAUAGGGGAGCCGAAGGGAAACCGAGUCUUAACUGGGCGUUAAGUUGCAGGGUAUAGACCCGAAACCCGGUGAUCUAGCCAUGGGCAGGUUGAAGGUUGGGUAACACUAACUGGAGGACCGAACCGACUAAUGUUGAAAAAUUAGCGGAUGACUUGUGGCUGGGGGUGAAAGGCCAAUCAAACCGGGAGAUAGCUGGUUCUCCCCGAAAGCUAUUUAGGUAGCGCCUCGUGAAUUCAUCUCCGGGGGUAGAGCACUGUUUCGGCAAGGGGGUCAUCCCGA